CCCUAAUCGAGCAUUAUUUAUAUAGUAAAAUUCUGAAAACUGGAAGCGCCCUAUUCCUUGCAAUCUAGAAGUUGAUUGACUUUCCUCACAAGGUUAUCCCCAUUCGAAUUCAAAUGGCAGACAUUGUAGACGAAAUCAACUGCAGAUAAGAAUGACUAUUUCAUCUUUGGAGUUUUAAAUGUUAUGGCCAAAUUUGGGAGUGUAAAUCUUGAAUGAUGUCUUGGCGCACUCCGUUCACUCGGCAUUAAGAAAGGCCUUAAUCUCUAUCAAGUUGGGCAUCUGGCCGAUUCUUGAUUCUGAAAUCCAUAGAUACCAGCUGGAUGGUAAAACUUCAAAUAUUGAUGUGUUUAUAUUUGUAAACUUUUUGAAAUAAGUAAUAUACGUCAUUUUCUCAUGUGACUGAACUGAUACUUAACCAAAAACUCGACUUUCAUCACAAAUGUUCUUAAAAAUGCGCAUCGAGACCUAAAAUUAAAUAGUUUUGUAUGAUUAUGCAAGGGAACUUUAAUGCCUCUAGUAGUGGUUUCGAAUUUUUCUGUAAAUAUCUUUAAAAUAUUAAUUUUGUAUAGCUAAUCUUGAAUUGUCUCGAAUGAAGCGGACAACAUUUUACACUAUUUGGAGAUUCAUGCUCCCAUAAGGUGUGUUCGAUUCAGUCAAAAUUGGCAGCAAAUACAAGUAAUCGAUGUAACACUUAAAUAAAUGUAUAUUAAAUCUCUAAAUAAAACAUUAUUUGAAUGUUAACAUAUAUCCAAAGUUACGAUAAUAGAUCACAAACUCCUUUGUUUGGUACUUAUUCAAUCUGUUUCAUUUCUAACAUAUUUGGCGAGUUAUACUUAAAUCCUUAAAACAAUAGCCCGAUAGAUAUGCGUGGUAGCGACUGUCGCGUUAUAUAAAAACGCUGUUGUAAGUAAAGGACGCCAAACAUCGCGUAUGUUGAAAUCGUCUUUUAUGGUCGUAGUAAUUUGAAACUACUUCAAUAGUUGAUCUUCUGAAAUACUUCCCAUUGUUUCCAAACUCUAAAAUUAUCUUUAGGUUUCCUAGGCUUAAUGGAAAAUGCAAAUAUAACCGAUAUUUUAAACUGCUUUUACAAUAUUCAUAAAAUUCUUAAUUUCAUUCUAACUUUAAGCAUUUAAUUUUAAGAAUUCGGGUCUUGGUUAGUAUAAAUUUUAAAUUUGCAAAUGCUAUAGAAUAUUAAGUUUGUG